UACGUAGGGGGCAAGCGUUGUCCGGAUUUAUUGGGCGUAAAGAGCGUGUAGGCGGCUUUACAGGUCCGUUGUGAAAACUCGAGGCUCAACCUCGAGACGCCGGUGGAAACCGUAAAGCUAGAGUCCGGAAGAGGAGAGUGGAAUUCCUGGUGUAGCGGUGAAAUGCGCAGAUAUCAGGAGGAACACCGGCGGCGAAGGCGGAUCUCUGGGCCGAUACUGACGCUGAGGAGCGAAAGCGUGGGGAGCGAACAGG
rnacentral:rRNA from 1 species